UACAGAGGCCUCGAGCGUUAGGCGGAAUCACUGGGCUUAAAGCGUGUGUAGGCGGAUUGGUAAGUACCUUGUGAAAUCCCACAGCUUAACUGUGGAACUGCUCGGUAUACUGCUGAUCUUGAGCCACUCAGGGGCUACCGGAACAAAUGGUGGAGCGGUGAAAUGCGUAGAUAUCAUUUGGAACGCCAAUGGUGAAAACAGGUAGCUGGGGGUGUGCUGACGCUGAGACACGAAAGCCAGGGGAGCGAACGGG
rnacentral:rRNA from 1 species